GCAUCUGACUCGACUCUGUAGAAUAACUCUACACUUAUUCUUCAAACCUCAACAAUAGCUACUCCACUUUAUCUGCACAUUGCUCAUCAUAGAUGAACAUAAACACAUGCAGAAGGGUGAGAAUUACAUUAUUAAAUAAUAAUAUAACGACAGAAAUAUAAACAUAAUUAUAUAAUUCACAUAUGCCAACACAGCUCAUCAUCAUCAUCAUAAUCAACAAACUCAUGAACAUCAAC
rnacentral:lncRNA from 1 species